AUCUAGCUGACAAGUCCCACGUGGGGCGAAACGCGCAUCCUGGAU
rnacentral:hammerhead_ribozyme from 1 species